rnacentral:tRNA from 1 species
GGAGAUAAGUAUGUAGAAAUCUUACAAAUUACUUGUAUGGACGCGGGUUCGAAUCCCGCCAACUCCA